rnacentral:pre_miRNA from 1 species
AUCAUUUGGAGGUGUUGUUAAAAAGCAGAUUCUGUGUCUGUAGGUCUGGGUGGGGCCUGUGAUUCUGCAUUUUUAGCAAGCUUCCAAGUGAUGCCUA